GAUGAAGAACGCAGCGAAAUGCGAUAAGUAGUGUGAAUUGCAGAAUUCAGUGAAUCAUCGAAUCUUUGAACGCACAUUGCGGCCAUAGGUAUUCCUUUGGCCAUGCCUGUUCGAGCGUCAUUUACACCCUCAAGCCUAGCUUGGUGUUGGGCGUCUGUCCCGCCGUUCUCGCGCGCGGACUCGCCUCAAAGUCAUUGGCGGCGGUCGUGCCGGCCCCCUCGCGCAGCACAUUUGCGCUUCUCGGAGGCCCGGCGGAUCCGCGCUCCAGCAAGACCUUUCACGACUUGACCUCGGAUCAGGUAGGGAUACCCGCUAAACUUAAGCAUAUCAAUAAGCGGAGGA
rnacentral:misc_RNA from 1 species